rnacentral:rRNA from 1 species
AUUGAACGCUGGCGGCAGGCCUAACACAUGCAAGUCGAGCGGAUGAAGGGAGCUUGCUCCUGGAUUCAGCGGCGGACGGGUGAGUAAUGCCUAGGAAUCUGCCUGGUAGUGGGUGAUAACGUCCGGAAACGGGCGCUAAUACCGCAUACGUCCUGAGGGUGAAAGUGGGGGAUCUUCGGACCUCACGCUAUCAGAUGAGCCUAGGUCGGAUUAGCUAGUUGGUGGGGUAAAGGCCUACCAAGGCGACGAUCCGUAACUGGUCUGAGAGGAUGAUCAGUCACACUGGAACUGAGACACGGUCCAGACUCCUACGGGAGGCAGCAGUGGGGAAUAUUGGACAAUGGGCGAAAGCCUGAUCCAGCCAUGCCGCGUGUGUGAAGAAGGUCUUCGGAUUGUAAAGCACUUUAAGUUGGGAGGAAGGGCAGUAAGUUAAUACCUUGCUGUUUUGACGUUACCAACAGAAUAAGCACCGGCUAACUUCGUG